UAUCCCAUUUUCUUGUGCAUAACGUAUACGCGCCUCGCCUUUUACUAGACGCGUCCGUGUAUGGGGAAUAUUUUGGGAGUUAUAAAUUUUUGGCAACACUUACUUGAUAAUGUG
rnacentral:snRNA from 1 species